ACUGCGAAGGGGGGACGGAGAAGGCUAUGUUGGCCGGGCGACGGUUGUCCCGGUUUAAGCGUGUAGGCUGGUUUUCCAGGCAAAUCCGGAAAAUCAAGGCUGAGGCGUGAUGACGAGGCACUACGGUGCUGAAGCAACAAAUGCCCUGCUUCCAGGAAAAGCCUCUAAGCAUCAGGUAACAUCAAAUCGUACCCCAAACCGACACAGGUGGUCAGGUAGAGAAUACCAAGGCGCUUGAGAGAACUCGGGUGAAGGAACUAGGCAAAAUGGUGCCGUAACUUCGGGAGAAGGCACGCUGAUAUGUAGGUGAAGUCCCUCGCGGAUGGAGCUGAAAUCAGUCGAAGAUACCAGCUGGCUGCAACUGUUUAUUAAAAACACAGCACUGUGCAAACACGAAAGUGGACGUAUACGGUGUGACGCCUGCCCGGUGCCGGAAGGUUAAUUGAUGGGGUUAGCGCAAGCGAAGCUCUUGAUCGAAGCCCCGGUAAACGGCGGCCGUAACUAUAACGGUCCUAAGGUAGCGAAAUUCCUUGUCGGGUAAGUUCCGACCUGCACGAAUGGCGUAAUGAUGGCCAGGCUGUCUCCACCCGAGACUCAGUGAAAUUGAACUCGCUGUGAAGAUGCAGUGUACCCGCGGCAAGACGGAAAGACCCCGUGAACCUUUACUAUAGCUUGACACUGAACAUUGAGCCUUGAUGUGUAGGAUAGGUGGGAGGCUUUGAAGUGUGGACGCCAGUCUGCAUGGAGCCGACCUUGAAAUACCACCCUUUAAUGUUUGAUGUUCUAACGUUGACCCGUGAUCCGGGUUGCGGACAGUGUCUGGUGGGUAGUUUGACUGGGGCGGUCUCCUCCUAAAGAGUAACGGAGGAGCACGAAGGUUGGCUAAUCCUGGUCGGACAUCAGGAGGUUAGUGCAAUGGCAUAAGCCAGCUUGACUGCGAGCGUGACGGCGCGAGCAGGUGCGAAAGCAGGUCAUAGUGAUCCGGUGGUUCUGAAUGGAAGGGCCAUCGCUCAACGGAUAAAAGGUACUCCGGGGAUAACAGGCUGAUACCGCCCAAGAGUUCAUAUCGACGGCGGUGUUUGGCACCUCGAUGUCGGCUCAUCACAUCCUGGGGCUGAAGUAGGUCCCAAGGGUAUGGCUGUUCGCCAUUUAAAGUGGUACGCGAGCUGGGUUUAGAACGUCGUGAGACAGUUCGGUCCCUAUCUGCCGUGGGCGCUGGAGAAUUGAGGGGGGCUGCUCCUAGUACGAGAGGACCGGAGUGGACGCAUCACUGGUGUUCGGGUUGUCAUGCCAAUGGCACUGCCCGGUAGCUAAAUGCGGAAGAGAUAAGUGCUGAAAGCAUCUAAGCACGAAACUUGCCCCGAGAUGAGUUCUCCCUGACUCCUUGAGAGUCCUGAAGGAACGUUGAAGACGACGACGUUGAUAGGCCGGGUGUGUAAGCGCAGCGAUGCGUUGAGCUAACCGGUACUAAUGAACCGUGAGGCUUAACCUUACAACGCCGAAG
rnacentral:rRNA from 1 species